rnacentral:rRNA from 1 species
ACGGAGGGUGCAAGCGUUAUUCGGAAUCACUGGGUGUAAAGCGCGUGUAGGCGGUUUGGUAAGUCAGGUGUGAAAGCUUCGGGCUUAACCCGAAAAGUGCACUUGAAACUGCCAGGCUUGAGUUCCGGAGAGGAAGGUGGUAUUCCCAGUGUAGGGGUGAAAUCCGGUAAUCCUUGGCGGACCCACGAGGGCGAAGGCGGCACACCAGGACGACUCCGACAGUGGGGCGCGAAAGCGUGGGGAGCAAAAAG